AGAUACCCCACUAUGCUCAGCCGUAAACCUUAACUUACAUCGAAAUCGCCAGGGAACUACGAGCCAUGCUUAAAACCCAAAGGACUUGACGGCACCCCAUAUCCAUCUAGAGGAGCCUGUCCUGUAAUCGAUAAUCCCCGCUAAACCUCACCCCUUCUAGCUUCUCAGCCUGUAUACUUCCGUCGCCAGCCCACCACAUGAGCGCCACUCAGUAGGCACCCCCGCUAAAUUCGCAAAAACAUCAGGUCAAGGUGCAGCAAAUGGAGGGGAAAGAGAUGGGCUACAUUCUCUAAUAUAGAGUACACGAAUAACUGCAUAUGAAACCCAGUUUGAAGGCGGAUUUAGAAGUAAAGAGAAAUCAAAGAGUCCUCUUUAACUCGGCGCUGGGGUGUGUACACACCGCCCGUCACCCUCCUCGAAGCUACCAAACAGUAACUAACAACUAAUUGCAUAAGAGAGGAGGCAAGUCGUAACA
rnacentral:rRNA from 1 species